rnacentral:rRNA from 1 species
CCUCGUGAAUUCAUCUCCGGGGGUAGAGCACUGUUUCGGCAAGGGGGUCAUCCCGACUUACCAACCCGAUGCAAACUGCGAAUACCGGAGAAUGUUAUCACGGGAGACACACGGCGGGUGCUAACGUCCGUCGUGAAGAGGGAAACAACCCAGACCGCCAGCUAAGGUCCCAAAGUCAUGGUUAAGUGGGAAACGAUGUGGGAAGGCCCAGACAGCCAGGAUGUUGGCUUAGAAGCAGCCAUCAUUUAAAGAAAGCGUAAUAGCUCACUGGUCGAGUCGGCCUGCGCGGAAGAUGUAACGGGGCUAAACCAUGCACCGAAGCUGCGGCAGCGACGCUGAUGCGUUGUUGGGUAGGGGAGCGUUCUGUAAGCCUGUGAAGGUGUGCUGUGAGGCAUGCUGGAGGUAUCAGAAGUGCGAAUGCUGACAUAAGUAACGAUAAAGCGGGUGAAAAGCCCGCUCGCCGGAAGACCAAGGGUUCCUGUCCAACGUUAAUCGGGGCAGGGUGAGUCGACCCCUAAGGCGAGGCCGAAAGGCGUAGUCGAUGGGAAACAGGUUAAUAUUCCUGUACUUGGUGUUACUGCGAAGGGGGGACGGAGAAGGCUAUGUUGGCCGGGCGACGGUUGUCCCGGUUUAAGCGUGUAGGCUGGUUUUCCAGGCAAAUCCGGAAAAUCAAGGCUGAGGCGUGAUGACGAGGCACUACGGUGCUGAAGCAACAAAUGCCCUGCUUCCAGGAAAAGCCUCUAAGCAUCAGGUAACAUCAAAUCGUACCCCAAACCGACACAGGUGGUCAGGUAGAGAAUACCAAGGCGCUUGAGAGAACUCGGGUGAAGGAACUAGGCAAAAUGGUGCCGUAACUUCGGGAGAAGGCACGCUGAUAUGUAGGUGAAGCGACUUGCUC